rnacentral:rRNA from 1 species
AUAUCAGUAAGCGGUGGAAAAGAAACCAACAGGGAUCCCCCCAGUAACGGCGAGUGAACAGGGGUCAGCCCAGCGCCGAAUCGCGUCGCCCCAGCGGCCUCGUGAGGUGUGGCGUAUGGACGGGCGUAGCUGCUUUGCAUUGGCGACCGACUUCCUUCCGGAACGAGGACUCACAGAGGGUGAUAAGCCGUAGUGCCGCCUAAGCUUAGUGGUGUUUCUCCCGGCCUUGAGUCGAGUUGCUUGGGAAUGCAGCUCUAAUUGGGUGGUACACUUCAUCCAAGGCUGAAUACUUCCACGAGACCGAUAGCGCACAAGUA